ACACUUAAUAUGCAGGAAACAAACAAAUGACACCCUUCUUAAAUGUAUAUCUGAACUAAUAUCACAAGUAGAUACUGAUCACAGUGUCAUGAAGGAAAAUGAACAAAAAUUAGAGCAAUUAACAGGCGCUUUUAUGAAAUGUAUUCAACAAGCAACAGUAGCUCAUAAACAAUCACUGAAAGCUCUAAAGGAAAUAUAUGAUACCUUUAAGAAACAAAGGCAGAAACUGAUCAAUUGGCUGGUGAAUUAGAAGAAGACAUAAAGAAAUUACAGCAAAAAUUAGUCAUGGAGACCAGACGUCGUGGGUGGGAAGAAAUGAGAAGGACAAUUUUCCAUGCAAUGCAGAAUGAAUUUUAAUCUCUACUAUUAUAUAAUAUUAUAUACCUAUGUAUAAUUUCAGUGAGUUAUACAUAGGUAAUUAUCUCUUAUAAUAUAAACUUUUCAAAUUGUAUUAUUUUGCUAAGCAUCUUUACAGUCUAAAAAAUAACUAAAUUUUUGUCAGCAGCAGGCUUGUGUUAAACUGGAACAUAAUAGUUUUAUUUGGAAUAAAAAGCUUGUGUAUUUUAGUA